GCCGUUAUAGCUCAAUUGGUAGAGCAAUUGCCUAGUAAGCAAUAGGUUAUGAGUCCGAGUCUCAUUGACGGCU
rnacentral:tRNA from 1 species